rnacentral:rRNA from 1 species
UACGGAGGGUGCGAGCGUUGUCCGGAAUCACUGGGCGUAAAGGGCGCGUAGGCGGCGCGAGUAGUCAACGGUGAAAGCCCGGGGCUCAACCCCGGGUCGGCCGUCGAUACUCUCGUGCUUGAGCACUGUAGAGGCAGGUGGAAUUCCGGGUGUAGCGGUGGAAUGCGUAGAGAUGUGGAGGAACACCGAUGGCGAAGGCAGCCUCCUGGGCCAGCACUGACGCUCAUGCACGAAAGCGUGGGGAGCAAACAGG